UACAGAGGGGGCAAGCGUUGUUCGGAAUUACUGGGCGUAAAGGGCGCGUAGGCGGCCUGUUAAGUCGAACGUGAAAUCCCUAGGCUCAACCUAGGAACUGCGUCCGAUACUGGCAGGCUUGAAUCCGGGAGAGGGAUGCGGAAUUCCAGGUGUAGCGGUGAAAUGCGUAGAUAUCUGGAGGAACACCGGUGGCGAAGGCGGCAUCCUGGACCGGCAUUGACGCUGAGGCGCGAAAGCCAGGGGAGCAAACGGG
rnacentral:rRNA from 1 species